rnacentral:rRNA from 1 species
UAGGGAAUCUUCCACAAUGGACGCAAGUCUGAUGGAGCAACGCCGCGUGAGUGAAGAAGGCUUUCGGAUCGUAAAGCCCUGUUGUUGGUGAAGAAGGAUAGAGGUAGUAACUGGCCUUUAUUUGACGGUAAUCAACCAGAAAGUCACGGCUAACUACGUGCCAGCAGCCGCGGUAAUACGUAGGUGGCAAGCGUUGUCCGGAUGUAUUGGGCGUAAAGCGAGCGCAGGCGGAAGAAUAAGUCUGAUGUGAAAGCCCUCGGCUUAACCGAGGAACUGCAUCGGAAACUGUUUUUCUUGAGUGCAGAAGGGGGGAGUGGAAUUCCAUGGGUAACGGUGGAAUGCGUAGAUAUAUGGAAGAACACCAGUGGCGAAAGCGACUCUCUGGUCUGCAACUGACGCUGAGGCUCGAAAGCAUGGGUAGCGAACAGG